GGUUCAGUUCUCACUGACUCCAAUUACCUAGUUUCCCUCAGUUGAGAAGAUACAUCAUUUUGGAAGUUAAGUGAAUGCCUAGUAAAUCAUAAUUGUAAACAAAUCAGAAUUAACUCAAGUAUUGCCCAUUCUAGGUCAUUUGCUUUAUUAAAGAGAAUUAAAACAGGGCAUAGUUCUCAUAACAAUAACUUUUGAUAGGGGAGGAGUUGGCCAUUUCUAACCAUAGCCCAAUCCCAGCUUCUACCUCAAUGAACCACUCUUUUGACUUUUUCUUUGAUUUCUAGAAACCGUACAGCAUCAUCAAGAAAUUCGACCUGCUAUAAAGAAAAUGACCCAGAAGAAGUGAAUCUAAUGAAUAGUGAGACUUUUGUCAAUGAAGCCUAUGAUGAACAGGAAUUGUUAACCUCUUUACAGUCUGACUAACCUGGUAAAAAAGGAGCUGAAAUAUCUCAAUAAAAAUUGUUUAUACAUUUCAUGACGUACUGUUUCAACUUCUGUAACAGUUUGUGGUAAAUGGUUACUUAUUAAAAUAACGGCUUUUUAAAUUGGAGGAGGUUAUCUGGUUUUGUGAGUGUUCAAAAACUGACUAUUUAUAGGGUCAGAUUUCAAUACAGUUUCCGUGUAAUUUAGGUUAUUAUUCAUCCAGAGAAGCUUUCUAAUCCCAGGGUGCCUGGCCCAGUACUAGCCAGAAGUUCUGGAUUUGAAUCUUGGCUCUGACACUAACUUUGAGCUCGUUAAUCUCUAUGAACCUGUUUCCCCAUUUCUCAAAAAGGAAUGAUCUCUCUUGAAUCUUUACCUUUUAGGGUAAAGGUCAAGUUUCUUUAGUGUAGUAAAUGUUCAAGUGUUCCUUACCACUUCCUCUCUGAUACAUUUUAGUGCAAAAUUAGUUCUCACUUCUGCUGAAAAUUUAUAAAACAGUGUUUUUCUUAUGCUCUCAGUUGAGUCUAAAACUCAGGACAGGUGAAUGUACUUUACAGAUGUAGACACUCAGGCAAAUAAAUGAUUUGUCUAUGACUUCUCUGAAGGAAAGUGGGUGGAUACUGUGGGCAGCAACAUACAGAGUUAUAGGUAUGGACCAGGAUUCAUCUC